rnacentral:rRNA from 1 species
AGCAGCCGCGGUAAUUCCAGCUCCAAUAGCGUAUAUUAAAGUUGUUGCAGUUAAAAAGCUCGUAGUUGAAUUUCGGGGUUAGCAAGUUGGUCGUGCCUUUGGUAUGCACUGGCUUUGCUGAUUCCUCCUUCUUGAAGAACUGUAAUGCUAUUAAUUUAGUGUUGCAGGGAAACAGGACUGUUACUUUGAAAAAUUAGAGUGUUUAAAGCAGGCUAACGCUUGAAUACAUUAGCAUGGAAUAAUGAAAUAGGACGUUUGAUCCUAUUUUGUUGGUUUCUAGGAUUGACGUAAUGAUUAAUAGGGAUAGUUGGGGGCAUUAGUAUUCAAUUGUCAGAGGUGAAAUUCUUGGAUUUAUUGAAGACUAACUACUGCGAAAGCAUUUGCCAAGGAUGUUUUCAUUAAUCAAGAACGAAAGUUAGGGGAUCGAAGACGAUCAGAUACCGUCGUAGUCUUAACCAUAAACUAU